GGGACUAAUUAUUUGCAGUUCGAUUUGGCCAGCAGUUUAUUGGGGUUUGGCCUGGCUUUCUGGUCUCCCGCACCCCAACUUUAUGGUCUUGGUCUCCUGGGGAAGCUAAAGAACAGAAGGCAGAGUGGUUUCUUGGUCUCCUGGUGCCGAGAGCCCUGUGGGAAGUGGGCGAUGGGAGAGAUGCUAAUCGCCACAGAUCGCUGCUGCUGCUGCUGCUGCUGCUGCUCCGGGCUGAAGGUCAAGAGGUGCCAAGUGGCCAGAGGCAUUGGAUCCGCCAAGAACUGGAGUUGCAGGCAGUUGUGAGACAUCUGAUGUGGUUGCUGGUUGGUUUCAGAACUCAAGUCUGAAAGAGUAGUACAUGCUCUUACCACUGAGCCAUCCCUCCACCCCCCCCCCCCACCCAGGAGCCACGCUUCACACCUGGUCCCCCGUCCUUCAGAGGAAAAGCCGAAGUCUUCUGUGACGGCCUUUCCCCACCUCUACCUGCCCUGUCUCAUCUCCGAUACUGCUCAUUUGGGUCAGCUACUGGCUUUGUUCUGUGAUGACACAACCCAUGUACUGGCCCCAGGGCCUUUGCACUGGCUGUUCUCUCUCGGCGCUUCCUCCCGGCAAGUGCCACCUUCUUCAGUUCUUCAUGAGGGUUCUUCUCCAGACAGCCUUCCUUCCUCCCGGACCUCCAUGCUGAUCGCUCGCAGUGCCCAGAUCUUGCCUUCUAAUCCAUUCUGUGCUGAGAGGACCCAUGGCUUCUUGGAGAAAUGGCUGCUUCUUAGACUAGGACGGGAAAUAGGCCAGAUGUAACCAGAGUAUCUCAAAGCCUCAGAAAGGAAGGAGGAAUUGGAGACAGGAGUCCCCCGAAUGUGGGUGUAUCCAGAGGUGAAACACAUUCGCCAGCUUGGGACAGUAAGUGAAUUAACCAAUCAAUGGGAGAGAAGAGCCCAAGGGUCACGUGGCACAGAAUGGCCGAGGCCUCACAGUGUUUACCAGCCAGGAUGGAGGCCAACAACAAGUUAGCACUGUGCACCAAGGUGUGAAGAAAAUGGUACUGUCCCUUUGUCACCUGGCUCCCCAGGGCUCACAACCCCAGUUUAGUCGUGUGAAGAAACAGCAGACAAAAAAAAAAUUUUUUUUUAAUUGUGUUUUUUGAUAUUUUGAGACAGGGUUUUGUGUAGCCCUGGCUGGCUUUGAACUCACUGUGUAACUGAGGAUAACCUUGAACUUCUGACUCUCCUGCCUUCACUUCUGAAACACUGGAAUUAUGGGGGUGUUCUGCCAUACCCAGCUUUCAGCAGGCAAAUUUUGGUUUAAGGGCAUCUACAAAAUACCUGACUGGGAUCCCUUAAAACUACUAGAAUCAUCAAAGUGAGAACUGCUUUGGCCCAGAGAAGCCUCUAGAGGACAGACCAUGAAAUGGAAUGUGGUGUGUGGCAGGGUCCUGGGACAUAAAGGGAUUAGCAGAACAAAGGUCUAGUGAAAGGACUCUAGAAGUUUCCAUGGCUAAUAAUUACUACUGGGUGUGGUGACACUAUACCCUACCUAACUCAGAAGCUGAGGCAGGAGGAUGGUGAGUUUGAGACCAGCUUAAGCUACAUAGACUCUGAUAUAUAUAAAUAUAUCAGUCAGGUGGUGGUGGCAUACACCUUUAAUCCCAGCACAAGGGAGGCAGAGGCAGGCGGAUCUCUGUGAGUUUGAGGUCAGUCUGGUCUACAGAGCUUACAUCUCCAUAGCAAUAAAUGAAAGAUGUCAUCGAUGGAGAAAACUAUGAUGGGGGAGGGGCAUGGGGAAGUCUUUACUGUGUUCUUCUUUAUCUAUGAAUCUAUAACUACCCUAAAGGUACAAUCUGUUUGUUUGUUU